UGCUAAAAGAAUGGAUUAACAGAUAAAUACUUUCUUUAAUUUAAAAAUUAAAUUUAUUAUUUUUUGUGCAGAAACAAAAAUAAAAAUUAAGGACAAGAAGACCCUAAGAAUUUUAAUUUGAUUUAAAUAAUUUAUAUUUCUUAAUCAAAUUUAAUUGGGGCGAUUGAAAAAUAUUUUUAACUUUUUUUUAAAAAAAAUAUGAACCAUUAAUAAUGGUAAUAUGAAAAAAUACUCUAGGGAUAACAGCGUAAUAAUUUUUGAUAGUUCAUAUAGACAAA
rnacentral:rRNA from 1 species